AUGGAUGCGGACAGGCAGCAAGGGACCAAAGGCCUCCACAGGAGACGGACGUUUUCUUCCUCCAAGGGCCAGACCACGAGCCCGAAAACUUUGCGCCAGGCCUCUGAAGAUGUUGCCAACUCAUUCCUCUCCUCUUAUAUCCUUCCUGACAAAAAACACAUACGGAUGCUAAUCGACUUCAAGCGGCGACAAAUACUGCCUGGCAAUGGCAAAAGGAGGAGCAAACACGAGAGAGCUGUGCGACAAGAAAACUUUAAACCUACGGCGACAAAUCCCUGCGCCGGAAAAGCGGGAAAAGAUGCCACAAAGGAUAAAAUUUCAGAACGGAGUUCGUAG
rnacentral:rRNA from 1 species